AUUACAAGUGUGGUCUGUGAACCUCUUGCAUGAGUAUGACCCUCAGGUAUUGGUUAUAGAAAACUUAGGCUGUCCCAUAUACACACAAUUUCUGGGGGGGGGGAUCUCAAUAAUUUGCAUUUGGAAUAAACUUCUAAAAUGAUCUCUAUGCCUAUUUAAUUUUUAGGAUCCUUGGCUGAGUGAGAAAUGGAGGACCUAAAACUGAAGCCUGAGAAAUAACGAGAGGCAUGGAAGAAGAGCAUUAUCUGAAAAGGAGAAGGAAAGGCAGAGGGCGAGGACACUGGAAUGUCAGGAGAAUGGAGAAUUUCAAGGUGGGGGGGAGUGAUCAACUGGGCUUGAGGUUCUUUUUUUUCUUCUUCUUUUUUCUUUUUUUCUUUUUUCUUUUUUUUCAUAUUUAUUUUUUUUAGUUUUCGGCGGACACAACAUCUUUGUUGUAUGUGGUGCAGAGGAUCAAACUGGGGCCACACGCAUGCCAGGAGAGCGCGCUACCACUUGAGCCACAGCCCCAGCCCUGGGCUGGAGGUUCUUGAGAUGUCAAAUGAUUUGGGGACCAAGAAAAGUUUAUUGGAUUUUUCAACCCAGAGAUCAAUGGACCCCUCAACAAGAAUAACAGUGAAACAGUGGUAGCAGAAGCCAGAUUAGAGAAGACAAGACAGAAAGGGGAACAUGUGGAGAGAUGAGAUUGUAGCUACAAGGAAAUGUGAGUUCAAGAGUAGUUUUUAAAAAUCUAAGAGAUAUCCACAGCAUGUUUGAAUAAUGUUUCAGGAAAUCAAUACAAAUACAAACUCAAGACUUUCCACUGGUUGUAUUAUUAAUGGCAUGCAGGCAGCCCAACCUCUGACAGCCCCAGAGGACCCAGGCAGGAGAAUGUGUCCUUCUGUCUGGAUGUCUAGUGGCUGCUGGGGACGGGUACUACCAGCUAACAGAAAAACUUGAAGAAUUUCAUUCAAAACACAGAACUGACACACAAGGGCCUUCCAAAAUUACCAUGGAAUGAGCCUUUCUGAAGAGAUGGCCAGAGAAAACAACAAAUCCAGAUCAAGAACAGAGCUGCCUCAGUCUGACAGCUGCACCCCCACCUUACCUGCUACUGAUUCUGGUCCGAAAGAACUAUGAGGUCAUGUCUGUGAUGUCACAGACACUGACAAACUUUCAUCUCUGGACACUCUCUGCUUCUCUUUCCAGCCUGAGACUUUGUGUCUCACCAUUCCUCAAAGUAGUUGGGGUCUCCUUUAAAGCCCUAUGGUCUGCAAGAUCCUAAGUAUGAUUCCUGGCUCUUCUCUUGGAAAAAUUCCUGGGGAUGGGGCUUCAUUAGCUUCAGUUGGAGCACAGCAACACCCUCCUCCAUUACUGCAGGGUUGCUAUUCUUGGAGCUCACACAUUAUUGUCUGAAUACAAAAACUCCAUCACUGAUACCCUGCUUCACCCCUACAGAUCACCGUGUGGACUCAGGACAGAAGUAUGGGAAUAGAGAUCUCUGGAAAGCCAAAGCUAAAACACUGAAUGAGAAGUCGGAUAUGUGCAGCUGGGUAAAACAGGACCAGGAGGAAAGUUAUAUCCCAGUGCCACAACUACCACUGGCAGAGAGCACAACAGAGUCCUGUUUGCUCAGGGCAGUGUAGGGAGUCUGUGCAGCCACACCCUGAGCUCCUGAGCUCUGUUAUAUAUGCAGCAUACUCCCAGUCCUUCUGGUCCCACUCUGGCCAUCUCUUGAUAACAAAUCUAGCUGUAUUAAUCUGUUUAGAGAAGUGUCCCCCUCACAUUGAGGCUGUUUUAGUCAGAUUUUUCACUGCUGUGACUAAAUGAUCUGACCAGAACAACUGUAGAAGAGGAAAGGUUUAUUUACAGCUCACAGUUUCAGAAGUUGUAGUCCAUAGAAGGCCAGCUCUAUUCCUCGGAGCUUGAGGUGAGGCAGAACAUCAUGGCAGAAGAGUGUGUCAGAGGGAAGCAGCUCACAUGGAAUCAGGAAGCAGAAAGAAAAAGAGUCUCCACUUGCCAGAUACAAAUAUAUACCCCCCAAACCAGGACCCAAUUCCUACCUUCUCCAGCCACACCCCACCACUUCAGUAACCACUCAGUUAAUCCCUAUCGGGAUUAAUUCACAAAUUGGGUUAAGACUCUUUUUUUAAUAUUUAUUUUUUAGUUGAGAUUGUACACAACACCUUUAUUUUUUUAUUUAUUUUUAUGAGGUGCUGAGGAUUGAACCCAGGGCCUCACACAUGGCUAGGAGAGUGCACUACGGAUGAGCCACAACCUGAGCCCUGGGUUAAAGACUCUUACAACCGAAUCAUUUCUCCUCUGAACUUUCUUGCAUUGUCUCACACCAUGAGCUUCUGGGGGAUAUUUAAACCAUAAUAGAGGACUUAACUAAAAUUCCUCUGCCUUGCUGUGCAUUGUGAACCAUCACAAAGCAAGCACUUCAAGAACCAGAAGAUUUUCAUUCAGAGCUGGCUCAGUUGAAUAUAACUUGAAGAGGAAAAAGUUUGUGUUCUACAGGGGAUAUGUGUCUCUCUUCAUUAUUGAGGAGGAGAGACCUACUGAAAGCUUAGUGUUUGGUGAGAACAUCCAGUCUUGCCUUUGGCCCACUCUCCUGGAAAGGAAAAACAGCAUUCUCUUAGGAAGGCUGACAUGGACACCGGCUGGGGAAAAAAAGAAGUGAUAAAGAAGGAAGAGCAACAAAAUCAAGAUUUUCCACCUGUUCCCACUGCCUGUCCCAUACCCAAGCCCAUUACAACCUGCUAUCCAUUUUCUCUGACCAUACUCCCUUACCCUCCCACUGCCUUGAUGCAGUGGCACAUGCAUGUAAUCCCAGCCAUUCGGGAGGCUGAGGCAGGAGGACCACAAGUUUGAGGCCAGCUCUGGCAACUUAAAGAGACCCUAUCUCAAAACAAAAAAUAAAAAGGAGGGGCUGGGGAUACAGCUCAGUUGGUAGAGUGCCUGCCUUGCAUGCACAAGGCCCUGAGUUCAAUCCCCAGCCCCCCCCAAAAUAAAUAAAUAAAUAAAUAAAUAUAAAAAGAGAUGGAGAUGGGACUGGGGGUCCCAUCUCAGUAGGAGAGCACUUGCGAGCAUAUGCAAGGCCCUGGGUUCAAUUCCUAGCACCACCAGAAAAGUGGUGGGGUCUGGAGAUGUAACUUAGUGGUAAAACACCCCUGAGUUCAAUCCCCAAUACAAAAACAAACAGAAAAAAGCCGUUACUUUGGUCCCCCAGGUUCUCACUCCAAAUCCUGUACCAAGGUCGUUGCUUUCUGGGUGAUGCUCCAUCACUCAGACCCAGCUUGAAUCUCCCUGUGUAGGAUGGUCAGGAAUUGCUUUAGCCCCAGAGUUCUCUCCUGAGUGCAAUGUCAGCUGUUGCCUUUAACAACAGAGCUCUCAGAGUUGGUGGAAGACCCUGAGAAGCCCAGAUACUUGCUACAGUCUGGAGGGCUGGUGGGAGAUCUCCAAAUUGCCAAUCCCUUUGAGAGAGGUUAGCUUUACCAUCAACCACCUGAGAGACAACAAGGAUAGGUGAGGAGUUCAACUGCAUAAGCUGAUCUGCAGCUCAAAAUUCAGUUCCUACAACUCUGAAGAAUCACCUCCAGCUAGGUCUCUCAGAUAAAAUCUUUGCUCUGGAAAAGAGGUCAUGUGAGAAUUUAUUUCUCUUCAUUUCCUCACUCUAAAAAAGAACUAAAGAAUGUAUAGUUUUCUCAUCACAUUCAUAAAGGCUCUGACCUCAUCAAUGAAUUAAUCAAUUGAUAACUGAAUAGACUACUGGUAGGUGGUGAAAGGGGGACAUAAUUAAAGGAGUGAAUCCUUCAAGAUAUGCCCUUAUGGACUGUAUCUGUCCCUGGCCUCUUCCUCUCUGUAUCCCUAGCUAACAUGACACGAGAAGUUUUCCUCCACCACAUCCUUCAGCCAAUUAUUUUCUACCUUACCUCAGGCCAGAGCAAUGGAGUUGGAUGACUACAGAAUGAAAAUUCUUAGCUGAAAACAAAUGUUUUCUCCUCAAAGUUGUUUUUCUGUUAUUUGUCACAGUGAUGAAAAGCUAAUGCAGAGGCAAAACUGGUCUUUGCUUGAGAUGUCUCUGACAUCUGUACCCCUUCCAUUUCCACUACUAUCAUUUUAAGGCAGGGCAUCUAAAACAGCACGACUGAUAUUUGGGGUAAGAUAGAUCUUAGGUUGGGGUAGGUGGGCAACCUGUUUUGAAAGAUAUUUGGUUACAUCCCUGACCACCUCCCACUAGAUGCCAGUAGCACCAUCCCAGUGAUGACUAAAAUUAUCUCCAGACAUUGGCAAUGUCUGGGAAUAUCCUCUGAGGGGCAAAAUCGCCCCUGGUAGAGAAUCCCUGAUCUAGAAAUAGAUUAACAUCUUCACCCACCAAGCUUUUCCUGCCUGAAACACUCUUUCCCCAAAGUCCUAAUUCAUUCUUUCCAUAGACAGUGAAUACGAAGAAUGGCUGUUCUCCACCCCUCCCAACCAGGAAAGAACACCUGAGCCUAGACCUUACAAAUGUAGAAGAAAAUUCUAUGUCCUCAAGAGGGUCUCAUCCUCUUGAAAACGAGAGGAUGAGGAUUAUAACAAAGCCACCUCCACCUUCUUGAAGCCUCCAGAUCCUUCGAAGCCUCGCCCCUGCCCGGUACUCUCAGGGCGCUUUAUCUGCACCCACCUAAUACCAGAACUGGUUUCGGGAGGGUUUAUCUACCGCUCUCUGAGGGCAAGUAGCUUCUAUGUAGUCCUCUUGCAAGAAGGCUUCGGUGACGCCACGCCUCCCAGAUAGAAGGCCCAGUUGUCUCCGCCACCGAGGUUUUGCGUCCCGGGACCCAGGAGCUGACAGCAGCGGGGCAGAAGGCGAAGACACAGCCCUUACAUACACGCGCCAUGAAAAGCCCAGCCCAGCGAGACUCACCUAGCACGCCGGAAGCUACCGCGGGCACGCCGGAAGUUGCCGCGCGGCACGCCGGGAUCUGAAAGUCGGGACGCAAGUGCACAGGCCAGGUCCGAAAGUUCGCCUUCAAAGACCGCCCCCUUCCUCCUGGUUUCCGCCCUCUGCUAAUCGACUUGGGUUCUCACCGUGAGGGUCCUUCUCUCAUACUCUGGACCAAUCAUAACGUCCGAGAACCCCUCCGUGCGUCCACGGAGGCACCGGUUGUGAGGCGCUUCCCCUUGUCGCUUGUGUUAGCAGGCGACGCGAGGCUCACAACCCGGUUUCACGGACGAGGUGGUGAAACUGUGCUGACACCUCGGGGCUUGCUCUGUUCGGCGUAGUGCCUCACACCCCGCGACCUCAACCCCGCCCAACAGCCGGGACGUCGGUACUGGAGCUGCUUUCGCCCUCCAGACGAGGAAUCCGAGGCAGAGUUCAGAUGACUUUCUAUCGACAGAAGUAGUUAAAAUUCAUUUCUGAUCUACUUUAUUCCUAAUUUUGUUUUUAAAUAUUACGGUAGAACCACAAAACAUUCUUGAUCGGUAGAAAAGCUGGGGAUCAGCAGGAACGAUGGGAGGUCCCAGGGAUACAAUUUCCCAGGGAGAGGAAAUCAGUUUUCUGAAGAAGCAGGGUGUACAGUCAGCCUCUCAAGAGAACAGGUUGUCAGCCCUGCUCACAGGGCGCCCACAGACCAUAAGGACAGAACAAGUACCACACCCCACCCCCAUUUCCCCACAUACAGAACAGACCUUAAACAUAAACAGAUCAGUAGAUAUCCCCAUUGAGCAAAGCAAGAAAACCAACGUACCACAUUGGUUGGUCUCAAUUAGGUUCUCAGGCCUGACAAAACCAGAAACUAAAGAAUGUGUAGACAGGACCUCCGGGGAACACAGGUGUCAUUCUCACUCUGGAGACUGAGCAGUGUCCAUGCUGAAUGUAAUUUCAUUUUAAAUAAAUCUUUGGGGUGUGUGUGUGUGGGGGGGGACAUGACUAUGCUAUCAGUAAUUUGCCUGCUCAGGACACAAGAAACUGAGGGACCUGCUUCUUCCUGCAACAUUCCUAGUCUUCCUAUGACAGUUCUCCCUUACAAAUAAAUCAGCUUCAUAACUACCUCCAGAAGUGCAUUCCUACCCUAGACCCUAGAGAAAAUAACUAUGAUAACUAUAUCUUUCUUAACUAAAUAUAUAUAAUCUAUGCGGUGUCUUAAUUUUUUUCUGAUUCUGUAUGUCCACCUCAUAUUCUAAAACUGCAUUUAGGCCUGUACCACAAUAUAUAUUCAGUCUUCAAUCAUUUCCCUUUUGAUGGACAUUCAAACACUCUUCUGCUUUUCAUGUAUCUCUUAUUCUGAAUUGGGAGUUUCUGGACUUAUUUUGAAGAGGAUUGGGAUUUGGAGUGCAAGUGAAAGAGUGGAGGACAAUAUUAAGACUUCUAAAUAUGGUUUUCUGCCUUCAUUUUUGCUCCUCUUCAUCCAUCUAUGGUUUAUAAAGGUAGUGGUAGCACAAAGAGCAGUAAUCCAUCAGAAUAUAGACUGAGGCAAGUGGAAUGUGAAAUGGACUGAUAAAGUAUUUCAUCUUUGAUUAAACAUAGCACGGAGAGGGUUCCCAAGUAUGUUUAUUUAACGAACUGGUUGCAGAUUGGUUUUAGGGACAGCCUAUGGUCACUACACUGCCAUCUGCUGGCCCUUCCAAUAAUCAGUGGUAAAGCAAAUACUCAAGUAUUUCUACUCCCAGUGUCAUGACUUUUUAAGUUACCUUGCUGCCUUCUAUUCAGAUGGUAAGAUAAUAGAUGGCUGCAUUGACAGGAAAGAGAGAGAAAGAGCCUUUGUGUGGGGAGAAGCAAGGACAUAACCAUGCUUUUGAUGGCCAUAGUUCUGCAUCUCUGAACCACCUAGAAGCUUCUUCAGUGUACCCCUAAGGGUUUUGCUCCUCAUGCUGUCCAUGAGAGUAUGAAACAUGGGUGUAACCAAUAAGAAUAGAGAGUUUGAUCUGAUCAAGGAAGUAGUUGUUCCUAUGCUAGAUUUAGUCAGAGGUGACUGUCCCAAGGAAAGACCACUACCACAUUAUGGGACCUGCGUGUUCCAAAGUCUGUGCUCCUAUUUGUCCUUGUAAGAUCAGAUCUUCAGUCAUCUAUGGCAAUGUAGCCAUAGGUGACAGGGAUCAAGCCAAGUGAAACCAGUAAAAAUAUGUACAAUGAACAAACCAAGUAAGGAAAUGGCCUCAGUGCUUGUUAGGACUAGGUCUCUAAAGCCACACACUAUCAUUUCUAUUUUUUUUUAGAAGUCAGUUACAAUAUUUAGUUCACACUCAGGGGUAGAGGAAUUGGGCUCUACCUUAGGAAGAGAGGCAUAGUAUAUCAAAGAACUCGCAGGCCCAUUUUAAAACACCCAUAACUUGGUACCUUAUUAUUGUUGCUAAGAUUGUCUUGUCAUCAAGGAAAUCCAUACUUUUGCUCUCUCUCCCUACUGUCUGGACUGGCUUCCACUGAUUCAUACAUACAUCUGGACCUCAACCUUCACACUUUAUCUUAAUAAUCUUUUUAGUUCAGUGUCGGUUUUUUUUUUGUGGUACAGGGGCUUGCACCCAGAGGUGAUCUACCACUGAGCCAUAUGCCCAGCCCUUUUUAUUUGUUAUUUUCAAACAGGGUCUCACUAAAUUGCUGAGGCCGACCUCAAACUUGUGAUCCUCCUGCCUCUGCCUCCUGAGUCACUGGGACUCCGGGAGUACACCACCUCACCCAACUAGAUGGCUUUCCUGAUCAUCCUAAUGCUUACCCUCUUGAACCACUGGGUUCAAGUUAAUGUUGAGAAGACAUCUACCAUCCACAUCACUCAAUUUGCUCAAACCUACCCUAUUUUCUCUGUGCUUCUCAUUUUUCAUAUUCUAAAAUACCUAUUCCAAGAAAAUGUCUGAAGAAAAGUGGUGCUUUCUUCUUAUUUUCCCACUACACCAAUUUUCUUCUCUACCUCACACAUGAGGUUUAUUAUAAAUAUAGUUAUUUUUAAUAAACUAUAUUUAUUAUAGAAUGUAUACAUUUUGCUUGUGAAAGGAUUACAAAAAUUUCCCUGGCUUUUUUUCUCAGCCAUCAUGGUGUGUGCACUUGACUUUGUUCCUUGCUAUAUCUUCUCAGAAGACAUUUCAGAUCAAACAAUUCCCAGCCAAUAAACAAAAGCAAAAUUGCCCCUUCUCUAAUGGAUUCAGAAAAAAACUAGUAAUAAAACCAGGAACAACUCCAAGCAGAGUCUUUGGAAAAGAACCAGGCUGCAUCUAUAAGGAAUUGCACAUGAAACGGCAUACAUCUUUAUGCUGCAUUGAGGUCACUAAAAUUUUACUGGAUUAAUCUGAAAGUGAUACCACUGCCUGGAAAGUUGGACAUAUUUUUUUGUGGGGGCGGGGGAUAUGAUUUCUUUUGUUUCUAUGCUCUGUCCCAGUAGGUUGAUUGAGUAAUAAAUAUGUGAAAACUUUAAAAAUAUCACUCUAUAUGGAGUACUUCACAUUAAAUUAUGUCCUUGGAGUUACCUCAGUGCACUUACAAUGUUGGAGAUGGAAAUAGGGAGAAAGUAAAAGGUGGUGCAAAUGGGAAGAACAACCUUGAGAACAGGUUGCAGAGUCAGGAUGGAGCUCAGUCAGGAGCCCUACAUGAACAGUGUUGGUUGGGGGUUGUUUAUUUCUCACCAACUCCUUUGUUCUAACCUCUCCUAAUAACAACCACAGAAUUCAAGAAAGGGGCUGACUCUCUCUUUUCAUUGAAUGGUUUAAAUUUUGCUCAAUUGAUCCAGGUAUUCAUACAGCCAUUGAUAUCUCACAGGGCAUGACAUGGGGCAUAAGUGGACUCCAUGACGGGCUUUAUGAAAUUGAUUAUUAAAACUGCUUAAGCCUUCUGAUUAGACAAGUGUAUUUAAACUUCUGUUUUACUAAGGUAUCAACCUUAGAUAGUACCUUAUAUAGGUCUUGGAGAUAAUGUUUUCAUUUUCUGAAUUUCCAACUGAAUAAGAGAUUAGACAUUCUUUUUCUUCUGGAACCCUAGAUAUAGGAAUAGGAUUUUAAUAUCCUCAAUAAAAGAGCAUGCCUCAUAUUUAAUUGCGU
rnacentral:lncRNA from 1 species